CAGAGUCAACUGUAACAGAGUUGACAUUUUCCAUAGUUGUGUGCUUUAGCUCCAGAUGCUAACCUCAGAGCAAGACUCCACAUGACGUGUCUAAAACACAACUUUCUGUAUUUUCAUCAUGUUUGUUUUUAAAAAGUGAAUUGACUGAAAUCUCACAGUAAACUGAGUUGAAACAUAAUUAACCUAAUAUUGGCCUCAAUGUCUUCCAGAGUUUCCUGACAAAGGAAGUGACAUCACUGCAGCGUCACAUGUUUUGUCUAUCAGUGAUUUACAUAUUGAUCUGCCUUUACAUGACCGAUGGAACAGAGUUUAGCAUAACGCUGAGACACACACUACAUCUGUUUCUAUGACUGAUAAUAGACGUUUCACACAAAUUUAACUUAACAGUUAACACAAAAAGGAUGAGAAUUAGACUUAAUUAAUGAAUGACAAUUAAAGCUGGCUGUAUGAUUCAGGAGGCGGAGACACUCCAAAAUAGCUGAAGUGGAGUCUUUAAGUUCAUAUUUUCUAAACCCUAUAUACAGAUUAUUAUUAGAGAUAACGUGAUAUAAUGUGUUGCUUUUGAAAGAUGUUUGAUUACAGUGUAUGUGAACAGUACAGACGUGUCCGUGUUUGUGGAAUAAUGAUCAUCUCUGUGUGUGCAGACGAUUCCUCCAGAUCAGGAGCUGCUGGUUUGGUACGGGAACUCUCACAACACUUUCCUGGGAAUUCCUGGAGUCCCGGGCUCUGAAGACGAACAGCAGAAGAAGAGGAGCGAAGAGGCUCCGGCGUGUGACUCCUCCCCCUGCUCCUCCUCCUCCUCCUCCUGCGGCUCCUCCUCUUCCUCUGCGAGCCGCAUGCGCUGUGUGAUCUGCCACCGGGGCUUUAACUCUCGCAGUAACCUGCGCUCGCACAUGCGCAUACACACGCUGGACAAGCCGUUCGUGUGCCGCUUCUGCAGCCGCCGCUUCAGCCAGUCCUCCACGCUGCGCAACCACGUGCGUCUGCACACCGGCGAGCGCCCGUACCGCUGCGCAGUGUGUCAGAGCGCGUACUCGCAGCUGGCCGGACUGCGCGCGCACCAGAAGAGCGCGCGACACCGGCCCCCCACGCAGACCACACCGCAGACACCCGUGCACACCGCUGCGCACCCUGCACUGCUGCGACACACACCUGCUAUGGUGAUCUGACAGACCCAACACACACACGCACGCACUUUACACAGCACUGACGAAAGUGAAUAUUGAGCCUUGAACAUUUCGUUUACUCACGACGGUGGGAGGGGCGUGGCCUGUGGGGUUACAUUUGCGACAAUUCUGUGUGCACAUGCGUGAGUGUGCAAAACGGCAGGUGCAUCUAUGCUAGUAAUUCUGUGUGCAAAGGAGAGAGGGGUCUGGAUGCAGUCCUGGUGCAGGUGCAGCCUGAGCUGCAUGCAAUGCUUUUAAUGCACACCCAUAACCCCGCCCAUCACAGUGAUGUCACUAGCUCCAUUGAGUGCAUUGUGUCUGAGUCUCAACUUGCAAAUCCAAGUCUGCAUCCACAAUCUAUUGGGCGCUGUUUUGAGCAUGCAAAAUGGCUUGUUGCACAUGCAUUAACAAUUCUUUGCACAAAAGAUCAUGCUUUGGGAGUGCGCAAUGGUUUGUUGCAUGUGCAUUAACAAUCAUCUGUGCAAAAGAUCAUGUUUCGAGUGAGCAAAACGGCUGGGUGCAUCUAUGAUAAUAAUUCUGUGUGUUAGAGAGAGGGUGUCUGGAUGCAGUCCUGGUGCACAUGCAAUCUGAGCUGCAUGCAACGGUUUUAAUGCACCCCUAACCCCGCCCCUCACAGUGAUGUCACUAGUUCCAUUAAGUGCAUUGUGUCUCCAAGUCGGCAUCCAGAAUCUAUUGGGCAAAAGAUCACAUUUUGAGCAUGCAACAAGCGCACAUUAACAAGUCUGUGCACAAACAGUUUUAAGUGUCAAAACAGCUUGUUGCACAUGAAUUAUUGAUUCUUUGCACAUAAGAUGAUGCUUUGGGAGUGCACAAUGUUUUUUUGCAUCUGCAUUAACAAUUGUUUGCACAAAAUGUCAGGUUUUGAGCAUGCAAAAUGGCUUGUUGCUUGCUCUAAACAUGAUCUUUUGUGCACAUAAUUGUCGCAAAUCUGACCCCACAAUGGCUAGGCAUAUUUCGAAAACUGCAGAGUAUAAGCAGAUGGGCAGAUUUUGAUGAAAGAUUAACAAACAGUAUUUUAUUGCUAAAUAAACUUUGGAUAUUUUAAUUUCAUGCAGACUUUAAUGUGCUGAACGUAUGACAGCACACUCUACAGGAAAAUAACUCAAACUCAUAAAGGUUUAGAAACACUUAAAGGUGAAAAAAAAGUAUUGAGUAAAUGUUCAUGUUUGGGUGAACUGUCCCUUUAAUGCAUUUUAACUGUCUUAAUUGUGUAAAUGUUUCUAAAAUAAACAAGUGUUUCUGUCUUGUUUUCCAGCACAAAGCUCUUUCUGAAUGAACAUUUACUGGAGAAGCGGAGCAUAUUUUGUUGUUGAUAAAGACAAAUGAAUGAAAAUGAUGCAUAUUUCUGCAUUAAAGCAACCAAACCUGUUAAUAGAGUCAGAGAAAUAACCUUAAUUCACAGAGGAAACUGCACUGCAGAAAACUUAAUUAGCAUUAAAAUAAUAUUAAUAUUUAGCUCCUCCAGUAAACGUCUUCUUUUGUUCUGUAAUGAAUCUUUUAUAGGAGUACACUUUUAUAUUCAUGUGUGUUGGUGAUGUUUCUGUCUGCUCUGAGAUUUGCUGGUGAUUAUUGUGCAGAACCGUCCAGUUGAGCAAUACAGAUAUUAAUAACCGAAGGCUUUAAAGUCCGAGUGAACCGGAUGAACUGCAGGUUUUAUUUUAGUAUGUUGCAUCUCCAGCUGAAACGGAAUAUUGAGUAGGGGGCGGGGUUUUAAAUUAGAGCUCCGCCUUUCAUCUUUCACCUGCAGCAAACUAAUGGUUGGAGGGGCGUGGCUAAGCAUAUUUCGCCCAAUCAGAGAAGGUCUUCUGUGCAGAUUUUGAUUAAAUAAGACGAUUUGAUUUGGUACAGACCUGAAAGAGUUUGUGAUUAUGAUAAUACUGAAUUACUGAAUCGCCCAAUAGCAGCUAAUGGAUGAUUGAUCGCAGCGAUUGUGGAUAUUGUGGUGUGUUGAUCCAGUUUAUCAGGCACUGGCAGAAGUCAGAUUUAAAUGUAAAUAUGUUUGUAUUGUCUAUUGUAAAUAAAACUUUGAUUCCACUGUA